GAAAAAUUCGGUAUCCGAUUAAAAUCGGGUAAAUUAUCCGGUUUAUCUAAUUCGGGUCGGGUAUUCGGUUUUUAAACCGGGUAUUCGGGUCGGAUACGGAUCGCGGUUUUGGGAAACCGGGUACCCAGUAUCCGGUUUUUUUUUUUUUUUAUAAUUUAUUUUCAAAACCCUAAAUUGGCUAAAUCUACCUUGGGCCUUUGGAAAUCACGUCUUCAUUCUUGCUGGCCGUCAUCUACUCAUCUUGCUUCUUCUUGAAUCUUGUUCUUCAAGCAGACUCCCAUCUUCUUCAAUCUUGCUCCCGUCAUCUUACGUCUUUUUUACCAUUCACGUUGAGACGUCAACAAGAAUCCAGACCACUGUCAUUCUUCUUCUUCACCGUUUUUAAUUGGAGGUUUAGCUGGUAAUCCGAAACAAAGUGAACUCCUAUUGCUGACCCUCUUUACAAUUUUUAUUUGAAGAUCUACAUGGAUUCUUACCCACCACCAUCUGGAUUUUCGAUAGCUCUUUAUCAUUUUUAUUUGGCCAUUUAUCUUUGAUAUUUGAUUUUGAUAUUUGUUUGACUUAAAUGCUAAUGUAAUAUUUUGAAUUCAAAUUCUGAUAUUUGUUAAACUUGUUCAAUACUUGUGAUUUGUGAA